GUUGGUGAACCAGCGGAGGGAUCAUUGCUGGAACGCGCUUCGGCGCACCCAGAAACCCUUUGUGAACUUAUACCUAUUGUUGCCUCGGCGUAGGCCGGCUUUUUCUAAAAGCCCCCUGGAAACAGGGAGAAGCCCGCCGGCGGCCAACCAAACUCUUGUUUCUACAGUGAAUCUCUGAGUAAAAAACAUAAAUGAAUCAAAACUUUCAACAACGGAUCUCUUGGUUCUGGCAUCGAUGAAGAACGCAGCGAAAUGCGAUAAGUAAUGUGAAUUGCAGAAUUCAGUGAAUCAUCGAAUCUUUGAACGCACAUUGCGCCCUCUGGUAUUCCGGAGGGCAUGCCUGUUCGAGCGUCAUUUCAACCCUCAAGCCUGGCUUGGUGAUGGGGCACUGCCUGUAAAAGGGCAGGCCCUGAAAUCUAGUGGCGAGCUCGCCAGGACCCCGAGCGUAGUAGUUAUAUCUCGCUCUGGAAGGCCCUGGCGGUGCCCUGCCGUUAAACCCCCAACUUCUGAAAAUUUGACCUCGGAUCAGGUAGGAAUACCCGCUGAACUUAAGCAUAUCAA
rnacentral:rRNA from 1 species